rnacentral:rRNA from 1 species
GAUGAACGCUAGCGGCAGGCUUAAUACAUGCAAGUCGUGGGGCAGCAUGAGUAGCAAUACUUGAUGGCGACCGGCAAACGGGUGAGGAACACGUACACAACCUUCCUUCAAGCGGGGAAUAGCCCAGAGAAAUUUGGAUUAAUACCCCAUAAUAUAUUUGAUAAGGCAUCUUAUUAAUAUUAAAGCUUCGGCACUUGAUGAUGGGUGUGCGGCUGAUUAGAUAGUUGGCGGGUAACGGCCCACCAAGUCUACGAUCAGUAGCUGAUGUGAGAGCAUGAUCAGCCACACGGGCACUGAGACACGGGCCCGACUCCUACGGGAGGCAGCAGUAAGGAAUAUUGGACAAUGGACGAAAGUCUGAUCCAGCCAUGCCGCGUGAAGGAUUAAGGUCCUCUGGAUUGUAAACUUCCUUAUAUGGGACGAAAAAAGGGCAUUCUUGUUCACUUGACGGUACCAUAUGAAUAAGCACCGGCUAAACUCCGUGCCAGCA